UGCGGAUUAGUGUAACAGUCAACAUACCUGACUCAUGAUCAGUAGAUUAAGGUGCAAAUCCUUAGUCCGCAC
rfam:Lasallia pustulata genome assembly, contig: scaffold29932_size838